rnacentral:rRNA from 1 species
GAUGAACGCUGGCGGCGUGCCUAAUACAUGCAAGUCGAGCGAACGGACGCGAAGCUUGCUUCUCUGAUGUUAGCGGCGGACGGGUGAGUAACACGUGGAUAACCUACCUAUAAGACUGGGAUAACUUCGGGACACCGGAGCUAACACCGGAUGAUAUUUUGAACCGCAUGGUUCAUAAGUGAAAGACGGUCUUGCUGUCUCUUAUCGAUGGAUCCGCGCUGCAUUAGCUAGUUGGUAAGGUAACGGCGUACCAAGGCUACGAGGCGUAGACGACCUGCGAGGGGGAUAGGCGACAUGGGAACGGAGACGGGGUCAUGAGUCCUACGGGAGGGAGCAGUAGGGAACGUGACGCAAUAGGCGAAAGCCUGACGGAGUAACGCCGAGCGAGUGAUGAAGGUCUUCGGAUCGUAAAACUCUGUUAUUAGUGAAGAACAGAUGUGUAAGGAGCUGUGGAGAUCUUGACGGUAACUAAUCAAGAAGCAACGGCUAACUACGUG